AUGGUUGACCGUGAAUGAUCGUUCCGACGUUCAAUCCAGACAUCAUGUGGGCGUUUAAGUAAUAUAAUAUUUGUUUAACAAGUCAUUGCUGUAAGAAGUUGAUUCAUGAGUCAAAACAUGCCGCCUGUAGCUUGCAUGUAAAACCUACAAACGUUCUUUCAUUUGCUUGCAAACAUUCAUCGCCAGACACGUCCAGAAGUAUUGUUUGUUAAAACCCCAUGAAACCGUUGUCAACUUGUCGCCAUGAAUGAUUAAACCACAGACGAACAAUUCACCAUGAAAAGAUCAUGUCAAUCGAUCUGUUCUGAAGCCUGACACAAUGAUAAAAUAUGCUAUGUGUUUGUGGUUCUUAGGAAUAUUUCAAAAACUAACAGUGCCGUCGUCGGAUUGUUUAGACCGGGAGGAUUAUGCAAGGCGCAAAGGUGUUGGACCCACUGAUCUGAAAAUAGACGCUCUCCGCUAUUUCUGUGAAGCCAGAGCCGCCAUAUUGGAAGAGGUCCCACUUGAUACGAAAAAGUACUCAAAGAAACGCUUUUUCCCAAGGUCUUAAAUGUAAUCUGAAAGCCGCACGUUUGUAGAAGGGCAGCUUUCCGUUAGAUGUGUCAAGGAGUGUAUUCAAAGGUUAUUGUUUAUAAUGUUGACUUGGCUAUGUGCCCGUUAAAUGCUAAGAAGCAACUUUUUAUAGCUGUUUUCCUGACCACUCUCCUUUCUCUUCACAUUUUGAAAGAUGUCAAAAUUGGUCUUUGAAAUAGCGUGGGUGGGGAUGGGGGGUCUCUUCAGCUCCCUCUCUGGCGACGCCGUUUGUCUAUAAUGGAUUUGUUGGCUCUCAGCCUCUAACAUCCGUAUUUAGUGUGAUAUGAGCGAAAUUUUUAUCAACAUUGGAUGUGUUUUGAUAAAUUGUACAUGCAGACGAAUUUAUGGUUAUUAUGAUUAGUAACUAAAGGAUAAUAUGCUGUUUUUGCUACCAUAAUGACAUUCCGUACUUUGUGCCCAACCAAUUAUUUUGGGCUGUUGCAAAGAAAAUAUGUCUGUACGCAGGCUAAUAAGAUUAUACCCAUACUAAACCAUCUAAAUUUUUUAUAGCGGCGAUUAAAAGUCAAUUGUCAUAUACAUAAGUAACUGGGCUAUACAAAGUUUAUUAAUGAACAUGCAGUGAACGAA